GACGAACGCUGGCGGCGUGCCUAAUACAUGCAAGUAGAACGCACAGUUUAUACCGUAGCUUGCUACACCAUAGACUGUGAGUUGCGAACGGGUGAGUAACGCGUAGGUAACCUGCCUGGUAGCGGGGGAUAACUAUUGGAAACGAUAGCUAAUACCGCAUAAUAUUAAUUAUUGCAUGAUAAUUAAUUGAACGGUGCAAUUGCACCACUACCAGAUGGACCUGCGUUGUAUUAGCUAGUAGGUGAGGUAACGGCUCACCUAGGCGACGAUACAUAGCCGACCUGAGAGGGUGAUCGGCCACACUGGGACUGAGACACGGCCCAGACUCCUACGGGAGGCAGCAGUAGGGAAUCUUCGGCAAUGGACGAAAGUCUGACCGAGCAACGCCGCGUGAGUGAAGAAGGUUUUCGGAUCGUAAAGCUCUGUUGUAAGAGAAGAACGGGUGUGAGAGUGGAAAGUUCACACUGUGACGGUAUCUUACCAGAAAGGGACGGCUAACUACGUG
rnacentral:rRNA from 1 species